rnacentral:rRNA from 1 species
UACGUAGGGUGCGAGCGUUGUCCGGAAUUAUUGGGCGUAAAGAGCUUGUAGGCGGUUUGUCGCGUCUGCUGUGAAAAUCCGGGGCUCAACCCCGGACUUGCAGUGGGUACGGGCAGACUGGAGUGUGGUAGGGGAGACUGGAAUUCCUGGUGUAGCGGUGGAAUGCGCAGAUAUCAGGAGGGACACCGAUGGCGAAGGCAGGUCUCUGGGCCACUACUGACGCUGAGAAGCGAAAGCAUGGGGAGCGAACAGG